GAGAAUUAGAGAGGAUAUUUUCUUAAAAAGUGGAAAAGUGUCAUUUGGGAGGUAGCAAGCUAUGUUUUCCUUGGAUUUUAAAACGUUCAAUUAGGAGAAAGAUCAAGGCUUGCUUGGCUAGGUGUAGAGCAGAUCCACUAGUUCAAUCAGAUGAGCUUUUGAAGGCUGCUUGCAACAGACCAUCUGAGGAUGCCGCUAGGUCAUCAUCAAAAUGGUUUAUACUUAAUAUCCAAGAAUGCCAUCAUUUCUGGGGUCGGUCUCCUCGGCAUCAAACAAGGAAAUGUUGAUGGUGGGGAAGCAUGGGCUCAAAGGAAGAAGGUGUGUGCAACUCCAGCAUAAAUUUGCUGGUAUGUUCAGCAGAGUCCAAUUUUGCCACUGGACAGCGAGACAAGGCGUAAGUCCUCGAGAAACCUUGAUAAGUAAAGAACAAUUGGGAGAUGGGGGUCCUGGCAAUUAUAGGUAUCUUGUAGAGGAAUUAACAAAUCGCAGUAGUUUUUUUUAUUACUGUAACAUGGAGAUUAAUUUUGGUGAAGAGUUAUCAAAUUCUUUCACUUUGUUUUGUUUUUGGAUGUCAAAAUUCUAUGUGACAACGUACUAUAUUCCAAUUUUUAUCUUGAAUUUAUUCUAAUAAAAGUUUCAGUUUA